rnacentral:lncRNA from 1 species
AAACGCAAUAUUUGUGACCCGGGAACAGUAGUUCCAGGAUUUCAAGAAUAAGCAGGUAUAAGGCUGGAACUGCUGUUCCACCUUUUUACUGGAACAAGCUUGUUCCUUGAUGAGAACAAGAUUAAUUAAAAUCUAAAUUUAAUUUUAAUGAUAGUAAAUUAUUAAUUAAUCUAAUUAAUAUAUUUAAAUUAUUAUUUAUUACUUUAAUAAUUAAGUAAUUAAUUAAUAAUAAUUAGAUAAUUAUUAUAAUUAAUUUAUUAUUGAUAAUUAAUUAUUAAUAAUUAAUAAUUAAUAAUAUUUAUUAUUAUUUAUUAAUAAUUAUUAUCCUUAAUAAUUAGAUAAUCGAUUGUAUUAUUAAUUUAUUAUUUAUAAUUAAUUAUUAAUAAUUAUUAAUUAGACAAUCGCUAUUAUUAUUAAUUUAUUAUUUAUAAUUAAUUAAUGAUAAUUAAUAAUA